AUUCAUAUUAAAAAAAACAAGAUUGUUUAGAUACGCUGGGACCAAUCUCAUCCAUUUUAUUUUGAAAACGUGGACAUGUAUCAUAAUACGGAUAUCUAUUUAUUGGAAUAGAGUAUAACAUGUGAUUUCUACCGAACAUAAAGGAAAAAACUCUUAUGCCUGCAGAAACAUGAUAUAUAGAUAUAUCCAUUCUAGUAAUUUUCAAAUAGAUCAGGAUCACUGGAUGACUGAAAUGUAGUCGGUUAAUCUCUAUGUAUAUCAAUAUGUAUAGUGGGAUCGUAUUAAAUAAAGAGCAUGUUAUUAUUUUAGAUUUAACCAAUUUGAUGAAUUACUCCUAAAGGUUGACAUCAAACUACUGCUAGUUCACCUCAAACUAGUGCUAGUUGAUGAGAGUUACUUCGGAAACAAAAAAGUAGUCAAAUUUCUAAGGGAUUAUUAUCUCAAUUCCAAUAAAAUGCAAUUGGGUAAAGUAUGACUUGGCGAUCAAAACAUAUAUGGAUAGAACUUAUAACGGUGUCUCGAAAAAUAAGUAAUUUCUGCUGAGCCUUUAUCCUUUUUUUAGGUUCAUUAGGCUUCUUAUUAGUUGGAACUUCCAGUUAUCUUGGUAGAAAUUUGAUAUCUUUUUUUCCGCCUCAGCAAAUCAUUUUUUUUUCCAUAAGGAAUCGUGAUUUCUUUCUACGGAACUGCGGGUCUCUUUAUUAGCUCUUAUUUGUGGUGCACAAUUUCCUGGAAUGUAGGUAUGGUUAUGAUCGAUUCGAUAUAAAGGAAGGAAUAGUCUGUAUUUUUCAUUGGGGAUUUCCGAAAAAAAAUCAUCGCAUAUUCCUCCGAUUCCUUAUAAAGAUAUUCAGUCCGUUAGAAUAGAAGUUAAAGAGGGUAUUUAUGCUCGUCAUGUUCUUUAUAUGGACAUACGAGGCCAGGGGUCCAUUCCCUUAACCCGUACUGAUGAGAAUUUAACUCCACGAGAAAUUGAACAAAAGGCUGCUGAAUUAGCCUAUUUCUUGUGUGUACCAAUUGAAGUAUUUUGAGAAAUUGAGAAUAAGAACGUUCAUUCAAUUAAAGAAAACGUAUAUGAAAGAACCAUAAAACAGAACUCUUUUUAUGGUCUUUAUGCGUAUGUAAACCUACGCAAUUCAAUAACAAAUAACAAAUCAAAAUAAUAGAUUCAUCUCAGAUGGUAAACCAUUUUGAAAUCAAGAAAUUUUUUUUAGUUCAAUAUUUGUUGGAAUUGACACUUUAGAUCCAGAUAGAUCAUUUCUUGUAAAUUGAAAAUUCUUUCUUUUGUAUUCUUUAAUGACCAACAAUUGGAUGUCUUAAUUAAAUAAUGAGAACUAGCCAAUUUAUCUUUUGCCAGUCAUUUUUUUUUUUAUCAUCGUAAUAUCUUUUCCUCAAUUAUUCUAUUCCUGACUAUGGGUAAUUAGUGAAAUUUUUUCGAAAUAUUGGAUAUUUUGAUAGCAAGGGAGUUCUUUCUUCUCAAAAUCUGAUAAAUAUUCAUUACUUAAAGUGGUUCUUACAACUAUAAAUGAAGACGAUAAUGAGAUAAAUUUAUAGUAUUCAUCUUUAAGUAAUGAAUACUAGGUAUGGCCUUAAAAUUAAAAAAGAGGGGUCAAAGUCGGCUAGUGAGAUGAUGGGGGAUAAGCUUCAUCGUCGAGAGGGAAACAACCCGAAUCACCAGCUAAGGCCCUUAAAUGGCCGCUCAGUGAUAAAGGAGGUAGGGGUAUGGAGACAGCCAGGAGGUUUACCUAGAGCCAGCCACCCUUAAAAGAGUGCGUAAUAGCUCACUGAUUGAGCGCUCUUGCGCUGAAGAUGAACGGGGCUAAGUGAUUUGCCAAAGUUGUGGGGUGUAAAAAUACAUCGGUAAGGGAGCGUUCAGCCUUAGAGGGAAUCCUCCGCGUGAGCGGUGGUGGACGAAGCGGAAGCGAGAAUGUCGGAUUGAGUAACGUAAACAUUGGUGAGAAUCUAAUGCCCCGAAAACCUAAGGGUUCCUCAGCAAAGUUCGUCCAUGGAGGGUGAAUACUAGGUUUACCUACAACUAUGAACCCUUUAAGUUGCCUGACGUAAGAACCACAGACCACAACACAUACAAGAACCUUUCAUACCUACUUCAUUUAGUUAGGAAUUUUUGUAGUUUCCCUAUUUAAUAGUUCAAUUACAACUAUGAAUACUAGGUUUGCCUGUUAUUGCCUCUUCGUUUUAACUACUAUUCCCUGGGAUUGGCUUUGGGCCUUUCCUGCGCAGCUUAGGUGGAAGGCAUAGAAGCCCUCCUUCCGGGGGGCCUGGGCUAUCAGUGAGAUACCACUCUGGAAGGGCUAGAAUUCUAACCUUGUGUCAGGACGUACUGGCCAAAGGACAGUCUCAGGUAGAUAGUUUCUAUGGGGAAUAGGCCUCCCAAAAGGUAACGGAGGCGUGAAAAGGUUUCCUCGGGCCAGACGGAGAUUAGCCCUCAAGUGCAAAGGCAAAAGGGAGCUUAACUGCAAGACCCACCCAUCGAGCAGGGAUGAAAGUCGGCCUUAGUUAUCCGACAGUGCCGAGUGGAAGGGCCGUCGCUCAACGUAUAAAAGUUACUCUAGGGAUAACAGGCUGAUCUUCCCUAAGAGCUCACAUCGACGGGAAGGUUUGGAACCUCGAUGUCGGCUCUUUGCCACCUGGGGCUGUAGUAUGUUCCAAGGGUUGGGCUGUUCGCCCAUUAAAGCGGUACGUGAGCUGGGUUUAGAAUGUCGUGAGACAGUUUGGUCCAUAUCUGGUGUGGGCGUUAGAGCAUUGAGAGGACCUUUCCCUAGACGAGAGGACCGGGAAGGACGCACCUCUGGUGUACCAGUUAUCGUGCCCACGGUAAACGCUGGGUAGCCAAGUGCGGAGCGAAUAACUGCUAAAAGCAUCUAAGUACUAAGACCACCCCAAGAUGAGUGCUCUCCUAUUACGACUAGCCCAGAGCUUUCGGUAGCAUAACCGAGACAGUGACGGGUUCUCUGCCCCUGCGGGGAUGGAGCGACAAAAGUUUUUUUGAGAAUUCAAGAGAAGGUCACGGCGAGAUGAGCCGUUUAUCAUUACGAUAGGUAUCAAGUGGAAGUGCAGUGAUGUAUGCAGCUGAGGCAUCCUAACAGACCGGUAGACUUGAAC
rnacentral:rRNA from 1 species